rnacentral:rRNA from 1 species
UGGGGAAUUUGGACAAUGGGCGAAAGCCUGAUCCAGCAAUGCCGCGUGUGUGAAGAAGGCCUUCGGGUUGUAAAGCACUUUUGUCCGGAAAGAAAUCCUUGGCUCUAAUACAGUCGGGGGAUACGGUACCAGAAGAAUAAGCACCGGCUAACUACGUGCCAGCACCGCGGUAAUACGUAGGGUGCAAGCGUUAAUCGGAAUUACUGGGCGUAAAGCGUGCGCAGGCGGUUUGCUAAGACCGAUGUGAAAUCCCCGGGCUCAACCUGGGAACUGCAUUGGUGACUGGCAGGCUAGAGUAUGGCAGAGGGAGGUAGAAUUCCACGUGUAGCAGUGAAAUGCGUAGAGAUGUGGAGGAAUNCCGAUGGCGAAGGCAGCCCCCUGGGCCAAUACUGACGCUCAUGCACGAAAGCGUGGGGAGCAAAC